rnacentral:lncRNA from 1 species
CGUCCCCAAAAUGGUCAAUGUGGGUAAAGGCAGCGGCGUAAAUCAGGCGCUUUUGAGAAGAAGAAAACGAAACAAAACGAUGAGAUAGGAAUUCCGAUUUCAACGUUGGAUUGGAUUCAGGACAAAUGUGUCGUUAAGGGUUUUCAUUUAUCCUAUCUUUUCCUGGAACAUCUAAAUGCUUUUCUUUUCAACUUGUCUAAAUCUAUCAUAUAUGUAUGUCUAAUCGGCGCUGUAUGGGUCGUAAUCCUCUCCUGAGUAUCCUCACCAGUCCCUAUCCUUUUAUUAAAGAAGAUGCCACGUCUGGUUUCACUAAUUCCUAUCAUUCUUCUCUUCUCGGCUAUAGAUAUGACAAUGUUCCGGCCUUUUCUCGUUAAUUCCUUCAACGUCGGCUUUCCUUACUAGCACAUUCCCAUAUAGAAGUGGCACAUGGAGAAAGUCGAUAGUAACUCUCUACUGGAGUAGUGUAGUGGUGACUUUCAGAAAGGAAGAAACUCAUAAAGGAGAUAGCAUAGAGUGCACCAAUAGUGUAGUCAAUUGAGCA